CAGUCGCCGCGGUAAUACGAAGGGUGCAAGCGUUAAUCGGAAUUACUGGGCGUAAAGCGUGCGUAGGCGGUUUGUUAAGUCUGCUGUGAAAUCCCCGGGCUCAACCUGGGAAUGGCAGUGGAUACUGGCAAGCUAGAGUGUGUCAGAGGAUGGUGGAAUUCCCGGUGUAGCGGUGAAAUGCGUAGAGAUCGGGAGGAACAUCAGUGGCGAAGGCGGCCAUCUGGGACAACACUGACGCUGAGGCACGAAAGCGUGGGGAGCAAACAGGAUUAGAUACCCGAGUAGUCCCUGUCUCUUAUAC
rnacentral:rRNA from 1 species